AGGGGAAUAUUGCACAAUGGGCGAAAGCCUGAUGCAGCGACGCCGCGUGAGGGAUGACGGCCUUCGGGUUGUAAACCUCUUUCAGCAGGGAAGAAGCGAAAGUGACGGUACCUGCAGAAGAAGCGCCGGCUAACUACGUGCCAGCAGCCGCGGUAAUACGUAGGGCGCAAGCGUUGUCCGGAAUUAUUGGGCGUAAAGAGCUCGUAGGCGGUUUGUCGCGUCUGCUGUGAAAGCCCGGGGCUCAACCCCGGGUCUGCAGUGGGUACGGGCAGACUAGAGUGCAGUAGGGGAGACUGGAAUUCCUGGUGUAGCGGUGAAAUGCGCAGAUAUCAGGAGGAACACCGAUGGCGAAGGCAGGUCUCUGGGCUGUAACUGACGCUGAGGAGCGAAAGCAUGGGGAGCGAACAGG
rnacentral:rRNA from 1 species